GAUGUGACACAGGCGGUGCUCCUCCCGCAGCUGACAUGGAGGCGUCAGGAGCGGGCGGAGGCGGUCGGGCCUUGGAAGGCCAAGGUUUACGAUAUGCAUAAUGUGGUGGUGAGUGUGAAGUCGCGGCGUGUGCCUGGUGCCAUGACAGAUGAUGAGUUCUUCGCUUCUUGCAAUGUGAAUGAUGGAGAGAGCGAGUCCGAGGACAUUUUGAGUGCGGAUGAGCGGAGACAGUUGGAAGCGACGUUGAAGUUG
rnacentral:misc_RNA from 1 species